rnacentral:sRNA from 1 species
AGGACAGAUUGGAAGACACACUCCUGAACACGCACGGGCUGUUGCAGUCACAAAUACUUUGCCAGUUCUGCUUUCUUUGUACAUGUCAACAGAAAGUUCUGAGGAUCUCCAAGUAAAAAGUAAAAAAGCCAUAAAGAAUAUCCUGCAAAAAUGUACCUACUUACCAGCCCUUGAACCAUUUCUAUAUGAUGCUCCUCCCAAUAUUCUGAAACAUGUGGUUGGACAGUUCAGUAAGGUGCUGCCGCAUGAUAGCAAAGCUCGACGACUUUUUGUAACAAGUGGUGGCCUUAAAAAAGUUCAAGAGAUAAAAGCAGAACCUGGUUCUCUCCUUCAAGAAUACAUCAACAGUAUUAACAGUUGUUACCCCGAGGAAAUAGUGAGGUGGGGAAAAUGGACUUUGAAACAUUCAAUAUUAGAAUGUAGUUUUUCUGUUUUCAAAUCUAGGUUUUAUAUCCACUGUGUCAAAAUGUGGACUUUGAAAUACGAUGUGAGGCCAAUAUGUACCUUUCUCUCUUGAUCUCUUCCCCCUGCCAAAUUAAUUAAUGAUCUGACUGACAUGCCCAUUUCCAAUUCAAACUGGAAUGUCAUUUAAGACAUUUUUGUACUAAUUUAACAUGUGCUUUACUAAAGAGUACCCAAAUAUAGAGUUCAAAGUAACCAGUUUUUAAAUUGUGAAUACCUGAUUAUAAAAGGCCUAUAGAUUCUGAUUUUCAUAGUUCCCUGCAUAUUACUAUUCUACCUUAAGCUCACAUUUACAUUAAUGAGACUAUCACAGGUAGAAAAGAGAUGUUGAGUAACAACAAAAAAGUUAUUAUCUAAAUGGAAAAAAACCCCAAAAUGAUGUUUAUUAUUUACAGGUACUUCAGAGUAA